CCCGGUGUAAGGGACGCAGCUAUAUUGUGCAUUGAGGAGAUGUAUACGCAGGCAGGGACUCAGUUCAGUGAUGAAAUUCAGCGGCACCGUCUUCCCAUGUCCAUGGUGAAGGAUAUUAAUGCAAGGGUAGAGAGGAUUGAACCUAAGAAUUGCUCAUCAGAUGGACUUACUGCUGUAGAAACAAAGCCCUUGAGCCAUAACCGAAAGAGGAAUAGUCCAAAGGCUAAGAGUUCCUCGAGGGGCGUAUCUCUAUUUGGAGGUG